ensembl:lncRNA
AACUGUGUUGGGAGCGUUUCACCUGGUAGCCUGGAAGCUAUUUUCUCCAACGCAACUGUGUUGGUAGCGUUUCACCUGGUAGCUUGGAAGGUAGUUUUCUCCAACGCAACUGUGUUGGGAGCGUUUCACCUGGUAGCUAACCUGUGUGUUGUAUUUAUUCAUAUUACUUAAUUGUCUAGCAUCUGCAUUAGCUAGCUAUAGCUGCUGUAUACGGGGAAUGGGUUAGCCUAGUGAUUUGUUAGUACUUGCACUUGGUCCUAUGAACAUCAACACCGGCAAAUUCAGACUUGUAGUAGCCUACUGCAAAUUUAAAAUGUUGACAAAUUUUACGUUUCAAUAUUUUGUCAAAUUUCACAAAGUCCAUUCCAAGAUAUUUACGAACAUCAGCAAUGGAGGACUGGCGCUGGAAGCUGUAGGUGGAGGGAAGACCAGGAGUGGUGCAGCUCUGUAGAUGCUGAAGGGGUCUGAGGCGACCCAGUUGGAGGUCCCUGCGGUGGCGGUCAGCCGGAGGUGUCAAGACCAACCAGCUCCUCGUCCAGGAAAGGUGAAUUCAUCAGACCGAUUAAAGGUCACAAUGGAAGAGCAGAUGGCUGUGCAGUUGCCAUGGCGGAGAGACCCAGAGUACGAUGACCGAACAGUUGAUCUACAACAGUGGCCUACUCCCCAUCCACCCUGAGGAUCCCUGGCUACACCUACAAUCCAAUCUACCCCAGACAUAACCACUUGGAGCUCAACAACUUCUACAACUCCCCCUACCUCCUACACACCAUACUGUUACCACUUUACCAUUUUAACUUUAAAACAAAGUACUGUAAUUCACACCAUGUUGUAGGAAAAGCAUGUUUACUUGAAUGAUUUAUGCAUUUUAUUUCUGUGACCCCAACUAUUGUAUUUCUGACCCAGUUACCUCUGAACCCUCUUUCUAAGGGAGCGACUAAAGGGACAAAGCUGGAGCUAACCUGAGCUUAACAAUCUUUCUAAUCUUUCUUUCAAAUGCCCUAAAUUGAAUCACAUAAAAUGCCUAAAGUAACUUGUCUAACAAAACAAAAAGCCAACCUAAUACCCAAACUUAACCAUCUAACUAUAGAUCUCAAAUGCCUAAACUCUCUUACUCUAAACGAGUACCUAAACUGAACCAUUUAACUAAACAUCUCAAAGGCCUAAACUCGCUUACCUCAACCUAACCUAAUACCCAAACUUAACCAUCUAUAACUGAAGAGCUCAAACGCCUAAACUCUUACCAUAACCUAGUACCUAAACUGAACCAUCUAACUAAACAUCUUAAAGGCCUAAACUCGCUUACCUCAACCUAACCUAAUACCCAAACUUGACCCUCUAACUAAACAUCUCUAAUGCCUAAACUCUUUCCUAAUACCUAAACAAUCUUUAAUACAAUCACUAAUGCCUAAACUUAACCAAACACCAAUAAUAAAAGUUAACCAUCCUUAAUCUUAAACCCAAACCAGACUUGUCCCUGGGUCGCUCCACUUUGUUUCUUUAAAGGCAUCUCUUUUCCCCCGCAUCUGUGUUUUAUUCCUUGAGGACUUCAAGUACUUCAGAUGAUGUUUGAAAACUUGUUUCAUUAAUAAAGAUACUUCAUCUUUACAGAUUUUGUUUUGGGGAAUUGGGACUGCUGAGCAGCUUAAGCAUCCUUACUGGUGAAACUGAUCUGACAAUAUCAAUUUUAGUACUAUGAAGCCAAUAACAUGAGGCUGAAUAUGUGAAAAGACGAGGUGGACAAUGAUCGAGGAGUCAACAAGGAGUUGAUUGGUAAACAUCUAACGUGGAACCAAUGCUUAUUUGUUUGAUCUGUUACCAGGCUAUCGCAGUAGGGGAAUCUGGAGGAGUACCCAACAGUGUUGCAUGGGUUCUUGAUAGAUUGCAUUACGGCUGAGGCCAUUCAUUAAGAUUGUUGAUUUGAUGAAUAUGAAUAAAGAG